rnacentral:lncRNA from 1 species
CUUUAUCAAGAACUGUGAGAGAAUAUGAAGAAACAAAUGUCAUAGAAAUAGUUUUUCCAAAAUUAUUUUUGAAAAUGCAUUGUUUAUAAAUUCUAAAAGAGGGAGUGCAUUGCAUCAAUUAAAAUAAACUAUAAACAAAUUUUGUCUUUAUCAUACAAAAUAGUAGCAGAUAAACCUAUGAUAUUUGGAAUUAUUCUUCCUUAGUAGUUCAGUAAUCUACUUAGUUUCCAGUUUUGGUUUUGGUGGCUGGCAGAUAUUAUAGUAUUAAUGAUUCUUUAGUCUGAAGGCAAAAUCAUUGCUUAGUUAAAUGGCGUGAAGCCAUCCUCUGUCUCAGGAGAAGGUGUAGUAAUGAUCUUUCAUCUAGAAAUGAUUUGAAACUUUGUUGUUAGAUGGGCAUGCAAACGAUACAUAUUACAAUAUGUAAAGUUUAUAGAACAUAUUGAGAAAAAAGCUUCUACAAUAACUUACCAUUUAUGAAAAGCUCUCAAAAAGACAUAAAUAAUAUUUACAAAUGGUCUGCUUCUCUCUAAACUGCCCUCUCCCUGAAUAAAAGAAACCACUUAAAAAGUUCUCACUUCAGCGAAUGUCUAUUGCAAUGUUUCUUUUCUUUUUUUAUAGAAAUAAGACCUUGGGGGCGUUUGGAGAAGAUUUUCUUAUAAUUUCCUGUUCUGCGUUAAAGAUAGUUGUUGCUGCCUUACUUAUGUACCCUCUUCUACCAUUCUUGUGUCUUCUUGGUGUUGAUCACCAUAAACCUGAAGUAAUUGGCCAUCUGAAUCUGUUUGACCUCAUAAUUGCUCUAGAUGAACAGGGAGAAACAUCUGGCUCCUUUUUCUGGGAUGAUGGUGACUCUAUUGCCAAGCAUACCAACAUGUAG